AUAUAUCAACCUCUUCAGCUUGUCGAGUGUUGGAUGUGGGGGGUCUUUUUUUGCUGGUUUUUCAGAUCAGCUCCCCUGAAAUGCAUUAGCAGAACAAUUUGUGGAUCGUUCAUUGGUGUGAUAACUAUCUACGCUAUUGACGUGAAGCAGUUUGGCUUCUAAUAGUCUAUUGAAUUGGACAAAUUUUCAUUA
rnacentral:misc_RNA from 1 species